GAAAAAAGCAGAAAAAAGAAAAGUUGUCCAGCCCUUUUUCCUGCAAAGGUUUUAAUGUUCGGUGACAACUAUAGUGAUCUCUGCCAGAAAAGGGAACAGUUCAUUAAGGGUGAAGACAUCUGGAAACAAACACUGAGGAGGAAGACAAAGCCAAACAGUUGGUUGAUGGAGGAUGUAGAAGAAGAGGAGAAUGAACAGCCAAAAAAAAAAAAGGUAAUUAGAUGGAUAAAUACAUCUGUAUGUGAAUCUAGGACAAAUACAAAUGUCCAUUGCUAUAAUGAAAGCAAUAUAUUACUCUGCUUUAAUUGUAACACAAACAUGCAUUUCUGUAAUGCUGCUUUGGAAUUAUAUUUUGAAAAUCACUAUACAAAUCAAUUUGAAUUGAAUCCUUGGUAUUGAACAACUUCAAAUUGUCAUUUUGAUUGCAAAAGUGUAAAAAGACAACAUGUACCCCAAAAGAGGCAGCAGGCCAAAUGAUUGAAAACCUGAAGAAGGAGCUGAUGGCAAAGCAAACUUCCUUACAGGUAAAUUAUUUUAAGAUUUUCAAAUUUUAGGGGAAACCUUUUUUCUUUUUCUUUUCUUUUUGCUCUCUGUGUUCCAGUCAGCUAUCGGAAAUGAGUCCUGAUCAGAUGAGGACAUACUUGCCAGAAACUGGAGUAAGGUACAACAGCAAAUGAAGGAACUUAAAAGAGAGAACAGGAGGCUAAAAGAAGACAACAUUAAAGAGAUACUUGAUCCCAUGAGAGAGCUUCCCACAGUAGUGACAAAGUUGAAAGAAGUGAUUGGACAAAAAACACUUCAGACCUCACCUACUGCAUCCACUUUUGCAACACCUUCAACAUCAGUAGACUCUGCAUGUGUUUCUCCUCAAGUGUUGUCUGAUGAUAUGGUAAGUACCGCACAUGCAUAUAAGUGUUACGGUCCAUGUGGGAAGGUGAUUAUACAAUGUCCCAGUAAAUCAAAUUGGCAGUAAUUAUAAACAUUACCUGA